GUUGAUCCAGAGCCUUACCUCAUCCAGCUUGUUGAUGAUUACAACUUGAAAAUGUCAGCAAUAUCUGUGGUCGUGUUUUUCUGCGGGGCUGUAUUAGGAUAUACUGCCUUCUAUGUCCUGAUUAAUUUAAUGGAUACAAAUGUAACGGAGAACACAAAUGUGCUCGUAGGUGAUUCUGUCCACCACCUACACCAACGUCUUCAAGGAAUGAUGAAAUUUAACAUCACGCAACAUAAAGGUG